AAAGCACAAAAACAAGUAUGAAUAUUUCAAUUUUAACAAUAAUAUAUGAAUACUAUUUCGAAAGACUGAUAAUAAUGGAUCACAGUUUAUGUGGAAGAUUUAUAACAUGUAAGACAUCAAAAGACAUGUUUUUCAAAAACGAUAUGUACCGUAGUUAAAACAAGGGGGUAAAAAGCAGAAGUUUGGUUUAAAUUUACGUCUAAGCAUUAAAAUCCUGAUAACCAUAGCCAUUGAAACAGUUUUAGUUUUAUAAAAAGAUAUAAUAAAUCUGUCUCAGCAUCUGUAUAAAAAAGUGUUCACCGUGCCGUUGCGAAAAUAUUAGACCUCAGGUACCGAUUAUUUUUAGUAACAAAAUAUACAUUUUGAUCGAGGACAAUGUCUUUCAUCAUUCUUCUAUAUACUGUACUCUUAUUUAUAUCUAUUUACUUAAUUUAAUAUACAAUUUUGAAAUCUAAAAUGUAAAAGUACAACAACACUUUAGAUGUAGCAUCGUACAUAUCCCCAUUUAUAUUAAGGACAAAACAAGCAAUGAUUAAUUAUUUUUUAAGGAAAAAAAAUAUUGUUAUAAAAUAUUAUUAUUUUCUUCUCCCGGGCGCUAAUUUUCUUCUCCGG
rnacentral:lncRNA from 1 species